CUGCCAUAUCACGUUGAAACACUGGUUCCUAUACGAUCCGAUCACCAAAGUUAAACAACGUCGAGCCUGGUUAAUACCUAGACGGGUGACCGCUUGGGAAUAUCAGAUGCUGAAA